AUGGCGGAGGCCAUACUCCUUGCUGUGUCGAAGAUUGGGACAAUCGUUUUGAAUGAAGUAGUCACGGAUGUGGUACAGAAGCUAUCGAGGAAGCUUGAUGCUCUAAAGGAAUUGCCAGCAAAGGUCCAAAGAAUCGAGAUAGAACUGAAUACAAUGAAUGAUAUAAUCCAAGAUUUGGGUUCAACAAAUCUCAACAACAAUGUGAUCAAGGGUUGGAUUGGAAACGUAAGGAAGCUGGCCUACCGUGUUGAGGAUGUGAUUGAUAAGUACUCGUAUGAGGCUCUUAAGCUCAAGGACGAAGGCUUCCUACAUCGUUACAUCAUCACCGGUUCACGCCAUGUUAAGGUUUUCAGUAAAAUUGCCGAGGAAGUUGAAGAGAUAGAAAAGGAUAUCGUGCAAAUCAAAGGACUGCCUAAAUAUUGGAGAGACACAAACGAACCCAACAAAAAUGACCAUGCAAAGAUUGAUAAGCAACGGUCUGGAAGCUGCUUUCCAGAACUUUUUAGUGACGAGGAUCUUGUGGGAAUUGAUGAAAAUAGGAGCAAGUUGAUUGAAUGGCUGGCCACCAAGGAUAAAGAAAGCACAGUGAUAACAGUUUCUGGUAUGGGAGGCUUGGGGAAAACAACCCUUGUCAAGAAUGUGUAUGAUCGGGAGAAAGUCAACUUCCCUGAUGCACAUGCUUGGAUUGUGGUGUCAAAGGAAUAUGAUGUAAUUGAUUUGCUGGGGACAUUGCUCACCAAGAUACAACACAGACAAGAGUCAAUGACACCACCUCCUCUUAGCGUGGGUGCCAAAUCUGAUGUGUAUGACUUAACAGAAGCAAUAAACAAGAUACUACAAGACAAGAAGUGUUUGAUUGUGCUUGAUGAUGUGUGGAGUAAAGAUGCAUAUAAUCAAAUGUGCAAUGCUUUCCAGGGUAUCCAUGGAAGCCGUGUUAUGAUCACGACACGGAUGGAAGAUGUUGCAGCUCUUGCUCAACCAAAGCGUCGCCUUGUACUCCAGCCAUUGGGUAGCACUGAGUCAUUCAAGCUAUUUUGCUCAAGGGCUUUCCACAGCAACCUGAACCGCGAGUGCCCUUUGGAGCUCAAGACAGUGGCUACAAAAGUUGUUGAGAGGUGUCGUGGCCUACCAUUAGCCAUUGUAUCUUCUGGCAGCCUAUUGUCCACAAAGCAACCAACAGAGCAUGCCUGGAAUCACAUGUUCAAUCAUCUCCGUAGCGAGUUGCGGGGUGAUAACCAUGUCCAACCUAUACUUGAUCUGAGCUACCAUGACUUGCCAGGUGAUCUAAGAAACUGCUUCUUGUACUGCAGCUUGUUCCCUGAAGACUAUGCAAUUUCACGGGAGAGCCUUGUGCGGUUGUGGGUUGCCGAAGGGUUUGCUGUGAAGAAAGAAAACAGCACACCGGAGGAAGUGGCUGAAGGAAAUCUUAUGGAGCUCAUUGGGAGGAACAUGUUGGAAGUCGUGGAAAGGGAUGAGCUCUUAAGGGUUAGUACAUGUAAGAUGCAUGACCUUGUCCGUGACCUGGCUCUUGCUGUGGCUAAAGAGGAGAGGUUUGGCUCUGCGAAUGGCCCCAAAGAAAUGAUUCGCAUGGAUAAAGAAGUUCGUCGGUUCUCGACAUGUGGUUGGAUAGACAGUAAAGCAAUAGUGGGAGUGAAAUUUCCACGACUCCGUACCAUCAUGUCACUUGCGACAGCUUCGCCCUGUACUAACAUGCUUUCCUCAGUUUUGUAUGGAUCCAGCUACCUUACUGUUCUCGAGCUUCAAGACUCUGCAAUAACCCAAGUGCCGGCAUCCAUCGGGGAUUUGUUCAAUCUUCGCUACAUCGGCUUAAGGCGUACCAAUAUCCAGUCGCUGCCACACACCAUUGAUAAGCUCUCAAACCUUGAGACACUGGACAUCAAGCAAACAAAAGUGGAAAAGCUACCACCAGGAAUUGUAAAUAUUGAGAAGCUACGGCACCUUUUAGCUGACAGGUUUGCUGAUGAGAAGCAGACGGAGUUCCGAUACUUUGUUGGAGUCGAAGCGCCUCACAUGAUUUCCAACUUUCAAGAGCUGCAAACUCUUGAGACCGUCCAUGCCAGCAAAGACUUGUCACUACAGCUGCAGAAAAUGAUGAAGCUGCAGACAGUUUGGGUUGAUAACAUCAGUGCAUCUAACUGUGAUGACCUACUGAAAACCCUCUCAGAUAUGCCCCUACUUUCCAGCUUACUUCUCUCUGCGUGUGAUGAGAAUGAGACACUUAGUUUCCAAGCACUCAAGCCAGUUUCCACAUAUCUCCACAGGCUAAUAAUCAGAGGCGGCUGGGCUGAUGGUACACUCAACUGCCCAAUAUUUCAGGGCCAUGGGAAGAGUCUCAAGUACUUGGCUCUAAGUUGGUGCGAUCUUGGGAUGGAAGACCCGCUGCGGUUGUUGGCAUCUCAUCUUCCAGAUCUCACUUAUCUCAGUCUUAACAGGGUGAGUAGUGCGGGUAUAUUGGUUCUUUCUGCAGGGUGCUUUCCUAAGCUGAAGACACUCGUCUUGAAGCGCAUGCCUAAUGUCAAGCAACUGGAGAUUGAAAAGGGCGCCAUUCCGGACAUUGAUGGGAUCUACAUUGUGUCACUCUCCAAGCUGAACAUGGUCCCUCAUGGCAUUGAAUCCCUUGGAACCCUCAAGAAGCUCUGGAUGUUGGAUCUGCACAAGGACUUCAAGGCUCAGUGGAAUCUAAACCAGAUGCACAACAAGAUGAAGGCUGUUCCUGAGCUCCGUGUCUAG
rnacentral:rRNA from 1 species